GAUGAACGCUGGCGGCGUGCCUAAUACAUGCAAGUCGAGCGAACAGUUAAGUUGCUUGCUCCUGUGACGUUAGUGGCGGACGGGUGAGUAACACGUGGAGAACCUACCUAUAAGGCUGGGAUAACUUCUGGAAAGCGGGGCUAAGACCGGAUAAAAGUAGGAGCCGGAUGGUUCUAAAGGGAAAGAUUGUUUUGCUAUCGCUUAUAGAUGUUACCGCGCCGUAGUAGCGUUGUGGGUAGGUAACGGCUUACCACGGCAACGAUACGUAGCCGACCAGGGAGGGUGAUAGGCCCCAAUGGAACAGAAACACGGUCCAGACUCCUACGGGGGGAAGCAGUAGGGAAUCGUCCGAAAUGGGAGAAAGCCUGACGGAGCAACGCGGGGUGAGUGAUGAAGGGUUUCGGCUCGUAAAACUCUGUUAUUAGGGAAGAACAAACGCGUAAGUAACUGUGCACGUCUUGACGGUACCUAAUCAGAAAGCCACGGCUAACUCCGUG
rnacentral:rRNA from 1 species